AGUAACACGUGAGUGACCUGCCUUUUAGACUGGAACAACUUACCGAAAGGUGAGCUAAUGCCGGAUGAGUUAUAUAAGUGCAUGUUUAUAUAGGAAAAGUUGGGGAGACCUGACGCUGAGAGAUGGACUCGCGUCCCAUUAGCUAGUUGGUAGGGUAAUGGCCUACCAAGGCGACGAUGGGUAGCCGGCCUGAGAGGGUGGCCGGCCACACUGGGACUGAGACACGGCCCAGACUCCUACGGGAGGCAGCAG
rnacentral:rRNA from 1 species